ensembl:lncRNA
CAACUCUCUGCCCUUAGCUGAGGCACUAGACCUCAUUGAUGUCAUUUAUGUUUCAGUGGUGUUGGAUUUGAUUGGGUGGAAUUGUGUACUUGGAAAUUUCCUCAUAUUUGAAAAAUGCUGUAUGUAAAAAUAUCACUGGUCUAAAACUAAACUUUUAUGGUACAACUGACAAGUUGACACCACUUUCAAUCCCUUUCUGGAGCAUCUCAAUCGCACAUAUGGGAGAGUAUAACGUGACUGUUUAUGUACUUCAGAAAGAUUGAACUAACCAUCCUUUUUCAAUGGAAACAGGAAGUUGGUCUACCAAAACCCCCUAUACUCUCCUUCACCCCAAGUUGCUCGUAACACAUUCAGACAAUGAGACGUCAGAAACAUCUACGUCGAAGGCUCUUCUGAGAAAGGUGACAAAUAGGAGGCCUGUGAUUGGCUGGAGUUGUUUUUACAUGUGGUUGCGUUUAUGUCCAAGGUAUUGUGAUAAUGUAGACAGGCAUUUUCCACUGAGGUGGACCAAUCAGAUCUCGACACAAACAUCCGCUUCAAAGGCCCUCACCAUCGUCAGCUCCCCCAGCGCCAGUCUCUGAGAUGGAGAGAUCAAGAGCUAUUCUCAUCGCUCUCGUCUGUGCUUUGUUCUCCAGGAUCUCUGGAGCAGAAGUGGAGAUGAGGGUCAGACCAGGAGACGACGUGACUCUCUACAGCGACUGUAUUUGGAAGAGUGGAUUUAGUAUAGUUUGGUUUAGAAACUCCUCAUGUGAGCAUCAACCUCCUCUCAUGAUAUCAACUCCAGAUUUGAUACGUGGUGCUGAUCCACGUUACUCUGCUGUGUGGAAUCCCUCCAACAAAACUCAUGAUCUGCUGGUGAAGAACGUCUCUGAUUCAGAUGUGGGUCUCUACUUCUGCGCUAUGUAUGAGAAAAACAUCACCAAAGACGAAAAGGGAGUUUUACACCCUGUAGAUAUUUAUCACUACGGGAAAAGAACCACUCGACUCUCUCUCCUUGGUCCUUGUACUGAUCUCCCCCAGACCCCCUCAACCCCUCCUGUCUCAGACUGCAGCGUCUGCUGGAAGCUGCUGGUCAGUGUGUGUCCUGUGUGUGUUCUCCUCUCCUCCACCUGUCUGUACUGCAUCUACAGACACACAAAGAAAGCAGAAGCAGAACCUGGUCAAGAACGGAUGAACAAAACCCAGAGGCGGAAAAGUAGAACAACUGAUGAGGUUGAAGGAGAUGAGGUUUGUUAUGCUUCGUUGGAUCUCCCGAGCAGAGGACAGAAGCAUCUGAAGAAGAAGAAGAAGAAGAAGAAGAGAGUUGAGAGCUCUGAUUUCAGCACCUAUUCUGUAGUUAAAACUGAUAACAUAUGAAAAAUGUACCACAGUACUGUAAUAACUGGCACAUGGAAGGUAAAUGUCCAUUUAGUCUUAGAGAGGAUGUUCAACAUGCAUAAAGUAAAAUGUACUUUUAUUUAUGUAAAAUGAACUAGGAUGCAUCAUUUACUCAAAGACGAGACAAUUCAUUUAAGUUUGCAACUUUUUUUGGCACAAAAUGUAAAUUAAAAAUAAAAAAGCAUGCAUUUCACUGCAUUGCUCUUAAAAUAGGAUUGAGA